CACCAGAUUUCUUUUCAGAUUUGAUGAUGAGAAGCAGAUAUGGCAAAUGAAUUACUCUUGUCCGUGCAUCUGGACUCAAGAAUCAGACAUGGUGCUAAAUACGUCUCUGCGUGAUUUAAUGUCAUUCCUGUACCGACCUCGUGAAAAAGGAACUGCUUCAAUCUCCCUUUGACAGGUGUCCUCAAUUAAUCUUCCUCCAGAGAGAAGGAGCACAAUGGGACUUGUCAUUCGUGUUAAUCAGAGCACAUAUCUUCACUGUGAAUU